CAAAUUUAGGUGCUCAAAGGUAAUGAUUAAUAAUCAAAACCUUAAGUUAAACGGGAAGUUUGGUGAAUCUUAUAGAUGAGUCCAACGCUGCCCCCGCAACGGUGAGCAAUGUGUAGUUGAUCAAUCCACUGUACGAUAUAACCAGGUACUGAAGCAUUUAUCUUCAAGUAACUUGGUAUAAGUAUGGGAAGGGAUUAAUUACUGAUAGCCUUUUGGCUUAUCACAUUGUCAGCCCGGAUACCGGCCUAUUUUUGAUCUAACCA
rnacentral:ncRNA from 2 species